UGUCUUGUAGUAUAUAAAAUUACUGUAAACUGCAACUUUACCAAAACAUUAGUCAAGACAUCCA
rnacentral:tRNA from 1 species